GCUAGAAGUGGAUAUUAUUACUUCAUCACUUUCCCUGAUGAUAUGUCAAGAUAUGGAUUUAUGUAUCUUAUGAAACAUAAAUUUGAAUCUUUUGAAAUGUUCAAAAGGUUCUGUAGUGAAGUUGAGAAACAGCUGGGUAAAAGUAUCAAGGUACUAAGGUCUGAUAGAGGCGAAAAAUAUCUUAGUGAAAAUUUUACUAAGAAUCUCAAAGAGAAUAAAGUUCUCUCACAAUUGACACCUCCAGGAACACCACAACAUAGUGGUGUGUCUGAAAGGAGAAAUCAAACCUUAUUAGAUUUGGUGAGAUCUAUGAUGGGGUUCACUGAUAAAUUUAUGGCGAUAUGCUUUGGAAGCAGCAACAUACUUACUAAAUAAAGUUCCCACUAAGUCCGUCUCCACAACACCAUAUGAGAUAUUGAAAGGAUGUAAGCCUAACCUUAAACAUAUUAAAGUUUGGGGUUGUCCAGCUUAUGUUAAGAGAAUGCAGUCUGAUAAACUUAACUCAAGAUUUGAUAAUUGUAGGUUCGUUGGUUAUCCCAAAGAAACAAUGGGAUAUUAUUUCUAUCAUCCUUCUGACCAUAAAGUGUUUGUAGCUAGAGGAGCAACCUUUUUGGAAAGGGAAUUUCUUUUGGAAGUAAAUUAUAGUGGAGAAAUAGAAUGAUGAAAUUCAAGAAACUAAUGAAACAUGC
rnacentral:lncRNA from 1 species